rnacentral:rRNA from 1 species
GAUGAACGCUGGCGGCGUGCUUAACACAUGCAAGUCGAACGGUAAGGCCCUUCGGGGUACACGAGUGGCGAACGGGUGAGUAACACGUGGGUGAUCUGCCCUGCACUUCGGGAUAAGCCUGGGAAACUGGGUCUAAUACCGGAUAGGGCCACUGCCUGCAUGGGUGGUGGUGGAAAGCUUUUGCGGUGUGGGAUGGGCCCGCGGCCUAUCAGCUUGUUGGUGGGGUGAUGGCCUACCAAGGCGACGACGGGUAGCCGGCCUGAGAGGGUGACCGGCCACACUGGGACUGAGAUACGGCCCAGACUCCUACGGGAGGCAGCAGUGGGGAAUAUUGCACCAUGGGCGCAAGCCUGAUGCAGCGACGCCGCGUGAGGGAUGACGGCCUUCGGGUUGUAAACCUCUUUCAGCACCGACGAAGCGCAAGUGACGGUAGGUGCAGAAGAAGGACCGGCCAACUACGUGCCAGCCGCCGCAGUAA